UACGUAGGGACCAAGCGUUGUUCGGAUUUACUGGGCGUAAAGGGCGCGUAGGCGGCAAUUCAAGCCAUCUGUGAAAUCUCCGAGCUUAACUCGGAACGGUCAGAUGAUACUGCUUGCUAGAGUGCAGAAGGGGCAACCGGAAUUCUUGGUGUAGCGGUGAAAUGCGUAGAUAUCAAGAGGAACACCGGAGGUGAAGACGGGUUGCUGGGCUGACACUGACGCUGAGGCGCGGAAGCUAGGGUAGCAAACGGG
rnacentral:rRNA from 1 species